rnacentral:rRNA from 1 species
AUUGAACGCUGGCGGCAGGCCUAACACAUGCAAGUCGAGCGGAUGAAGGGAGCUUGCUCCUGGAUUCAGCGGCGGACGGGUGAGUAAUGCCUAGGAAUCUGCCUGGUAGUGGGGGAUAACGUCCGGAAACGGGCGCUAAUACCGCAUACGUCCUGAGGGAGAAAGUGGGGGAUCUUCGGACCUCACGCCAUCAGAUGAGCCUAGGUCGGAUUAGCUAGUUGGUGGGGUAAAGGCCUACCAAGGCGACGAUCCGUAACUGGUCUGAGAGGAUGAUCAGUCACACUGGAACUGAGACACGGUCCAGACUCCUACGGGAGGCAGCAGUGGGGAAUAUUGGACAAUGGGCGAAAGCCUGAUCCAGCCAUGCCGCGUGUGUGAAGAAGGUCUUCGGAUUGUAAAGCACUUUAAGUUGGGAGGAAGGGCAGUAAGUUAAUACCUUGCUGUUUUGACGAUACCAACAGAAUAAGCACCGGCUAACUUCGUG